CUAAAUUAUACUAUAUAUGUACAAUGUUAAGUUCUAUAUCUCAUUAUUUAUUUUUUAAAUAUAAUUGAAAAUUAAGAAAAUGAUACCAAAUACGUUAAAUUCUAAUCAACCCACAUAUCUCCGGCAAUGGAGGUUCUUACAGCAAAGACAGACCGGAUCUUACACCCUCUUCUGUGAGGGAAUUGGAGCUUGCAUGUUCCAGAAGAACGAGCUGUGCCAUCUGUCUACUUGUGCCCCAUCCAAAGAUGGAUUCACAUAUAAAGGAGCAGCGAUACAAUCAUACUAUCAUGGUUCAUAAACGGGCACAAGACCUCUCAAUGACCAAUCUGAAGCUAAGUAGUUCUGCAUCUCACGCCAAACCACGGUUUACGCCUUGCAGAGCCAAUCUUGAAAAUUGUACAUACAUUUAACUCUAAGGAUCCACUUGUAUGAUGUAUCUAUGCAGAAUGUACAAUAGACAAACGCUAAUUAAGCGGUUGGAUAUAGA